rnacentral:rRNA from 1 species
AGUGGCGAACGGGUGAGUAACACGUGAGUAACCUGCCCACAACUUUGGGAUAACGCUAGGAAACUGGUGCUAAUACUGGAUAUGUGCUCCUGCUGCAUGGUGGGGGUUGGAAAGCUCCGGCGGUUGUGGAUGGACUCGCGGCCUAUCAGCUUGUUGGUGGGGUAGUGGCCUACCAAGGCGGCGACGGGUAGCCGGCCUGAGAGGGUGACCGGCCACAUUGGGACUGAGAUACGGCCCAGACUCCUACGGGAGGCAGCAGUGGGGAAUAUUGCACAAUGGGCGCAAGCCUGAUGCAGCAACGCCGCGUGCGGGAUGACGGCCUUCGGGUUGUAAACCGCUUUCAGCAGGGACGAAGCUUUUUGUGACGGUACCUGCAGAAGAAGCACCGGCUAACUACGUGCCAGCAGCCGCGGUGAUACGUAGGGUGCGAGCGUUGUCCGGAUUUAUUGGGCGUAAAGGGCUCGUAGGCGGUUGAUCGCGUCGGAAGUGGAAACUUGAUGCUUAACGUUGAGCGUGCUUUCGAUACGGGUUGACUUGAGGAAGGUAGGGGAGAAUGGAAUUCCUGGUGGAGCGGUGGAAUGCGCAGAUAUCAGGAGGAACACCAGUGGCGAAGGCGGUUCUCUGGACCUUUCCUGACGCUGAGGAGCGAAAGCGUGGGGAGCGAACAGGCUUAGAUACCCUGGUAGUCCACGCUGUAAACGGUGGGUACUAGGUGUGGGGUCCAUUCCACGGAUUCUGUGCCGUAGCUAACGCUUUAAGUACCCCGCCUGGGGAGUACGGCCGCAAGGCUAAAAC